rnacentral:tRNA from 1 species
GGGUGUAGCUCAGUGGUAGAGUGUGCGCCUGGCAAGCAGAGGUCCUGGGUUCAAUCCCCAGGACCUCCA